CUAAGGGGAAGAACGAACGUAUUCGUCAUGCCUGGAGCCUGGGAUCUGCAGUUGUGGUAUGCGGUGGCUAAAAUCCCCAGAUUUGGAUUCUGCAAAGUUUUCAUAGCCUCCAACACGUGUUUUGUCUGAACAAAGGCUAAGCAACGGAGCCCCACCUCUUAUGCUGGGCAACACGAAGAGGGCAUCCUAGAGACGGAUAAGAAGUAAAUGGCUUUAUCAACAAGGCAAUACCCUACCAGAACAUGAAGACUGGUCUCCUCAGUUCCUCGGCUGUACAGCUGUGUAAGAUUUCAAAAUUCUUUCUCCUCAUCAUGUUCACAUCUGAGCAUCAAGCUAUGUGGCCUGUUCUCCCUGUCCCAACCCCAAGUCAAAUCACGGAAUGGUGGAAGGGACUGGAGAGCUGUCAUAUCACACCAGUCAAAUAUUUCUCUUAUCAUAGACAGUGUUUUUAAAGCAGUUCGUAAACACAGGCACUUUGUACAAGGGAAGUUACACUUUAUGAACUAUAAAUGGGUUUUAAAGUGGCUUGCUCUCAGGCUGCUUUUCAUUAAGAUGCACAUCAACUUGAAUUUGUCUACUGCUAAUUAAAAUGAUUAUUGAGGCCUUUUUUUUAAGUUUCAGUUUUGGGGACAUUUCGGAUUUCAGAUUGUCCUGAUGGUGGACGCUAAACCUGUGCUCGGACUAAAGAAAGUAACCCACUAAAGCAAAAGAUGUGUGAGAGAUUUUAAUGCUGCUGGAUGUAAUUUGGGGAUUCUGUAGAUACAUGUACUUGCCACCAAGCCUGAGGGAUUCAGCUCCAUAACCAGAAGGCACAUGGUAAGAGGAGAGCAGUGACUUCCACAAGUUGUCCUCUGACCUACACAUGCAUGCAAUGACAAGAACAAGAGCCCCAUCACCAUGCUAAAUAAACAAACAAAUUAAUGAGUGAGUACAAUUUUUGUAGGCCACAGUGUCUGAGGGGGUGAUUUCAAAGAAAGGAGCAUAUCCCAAGAAUAAAGGCCUGAGAAAUAGGAAACCUGGAGGAGUUUCCUAGAAGUACCGAUAGGUCUUCAGAUACAGGAUAGAGUUUGGAGGCAACCAGGAGGCAAUAGGAAAGCACCCCUGGAAAUACUGCCAGAGGGCUCUGAGAAGUCACUACUGAACUCAGUAUGUCACGGUUGGCCAUUCAGAUUAUGGUUGAUUUCAGAGUGAUAGCCGUGGCAGAAGAUUUAGGGGGCUGAUCCAGCAUGGCUGUGCUGGACGGAUUGUGGCACUAAAAGGUAGGGUCUUCCAGGUCAGUGCAACUGUGGUUUGACAAGUAGUAUGUUAUGAGGCAAAGAUAGGGGGACCCUAUCCUGACAUUGUAGCUGAUGUCAUAUGAUGCCACCAUACUGAUUUUCUGUGAGUGGCAUGGCUCAUUCUCACUGCUUUCCCCUGCAUCUGUCCCUACUGCCACCACAGUUGUCCAGCUGUGGGGAGGGGUUUUGAGGAUAAGUUACAGAGACGUGGAGGAAAGCCCUCCCUCUCAGCUUUGGCCCACAGUGUCCUUUCUGUAAAACCUUGUGCUGUGUCAGUGUAACUCCUACCCAUUUACCAAGCCUCAGCUCAAAUCUAUCACCAGAUGAAACUUAUUCCGUUAUGAACCCCACCAAACCUUGAAAACUAUAGCCCUUUAUCUCUCUGCCCCUAUAGCCCUUAGCAGAAAACUCAAGACUAAUAGCUGAGGGGCUGUAGCCAAGUUGAAAUGGGGUGUGUCCUGAGGGGAGGGCCUGGGUUUCAGUUCAUUUGUUAGGGUAGCUACAAAGUGGUGGGAAUGUUCAUAUGUUCUUUCUUCGAUGGGAGACCCCAGGACCAUUUCCUGAGGGAAUGUGAUAAGAAAGGAAUAUAAUUCACAGGCUCUUAGAGACCACCAUAGUCUAAGAAUAGAAUGGCUACUGCUUGGGGAGAAAUACCAGUAUCUCUACUUAAUGCUUCUCUUGGGCCUUGAAAUGUUCCUAUUGCAAACAGUGUGGUUUAUGCAUCCAGGAGAAAACAAAUUCCUCUCUAGUGAAGUUAAAGAAACACUGCCUUCAGCUAUGAACAUUUUGCAAGUCUUGUGGCUUUUACACUUCACUUCCAACCCUGAAGAAGAAGAAAAAUUGAACAGAAUACUUUUUUAAAAAAUCAAUGAAUGAAUCGAACAGGUUUUUCUACCUUUUAGGAGUAGAGGUCAUAAGCUACAAUGUGUUCCCACUUGGCAAACUGCCAUUUAUAAGUUCCAGAGCUAUGCAACCUCUUUUGCUGAGACUGUAGAUAGUCCAAAGAUGCGCUCUAGGGCAGAGGUUCUAAACCUUCCUAAUGCUGCCACCCUCUAAUACAGUUCCUCAUGCUGUGGUGACCCCCAACCAUAAAAUCAUUUCGUUGCUACUUCAUAACUGCAAUUUUGCUACUGUUAUGAAUCAUAUUGUAAAUAUCUGAUAUGCAGGAUAUCUGAUAGGUGACUGCUGUGAAAGGGUUGCUUGACUCCCAAAAGGGUCAUGGCCCACAGAUUGAGAAGCUCUACUCUAGAUGCUUUGUUGAGAUGAGAGAACGUGGUGGCAUAGAGACAGGGUGUUUUCAGGAGCAGAUAGGACCAGGAAUGUGAUGGGGUUGUCCUUCUGUGUAUAAGUUUCUCUUAUUGGUUGAUGAAUAAAACACUAUGAGGCUAGUAGCCAGGCAGGAAAGAUAGGUGGGGCUACCAGAGGAAAAUUCUGGGAAAUGUAGGCAGACAGGAGUCACGAUGUGAGAACAGGAAGGUGGAGUGCCAACCCUUCUCUGGUAAGAUAAAACCAUGUGGAAAUAGUUAGAUUAAUAGAAAAUGGAUUAAUGAUUAAUACUGAGUUAGCCAAUAAGAAACCCUAGUCAACAAUUUCAUAAUUAAUAUAAGUCUUUGUGUGUUUAUUUGGCGCUCGCAAGGGUGGUGGGACCCUGCCAGGACAAAGAACCUUCCAUUACAGGAGUGAAAUAAUGCAGAGUUAGGAUGUGUCUUAUCCCAACAUCCAAGUACGACCAAAAUAAGCCCCAUUACUGGGAAUUGGCAUGCGAUAGAAGGUUCUUUCAUUCUAACACCUUUACUUUACAAAGAAGAAAGAUGAAAGGUAAUUUUUCCUAGCUUGGUUAUGAGAAACAAAUCUGUUGGAUAUGGCUUUUUAAAGAUAAAGGGUGUCCCAUGGGCCUAUGUUUCAAUGCCUGGUCUCUGAGUUUUGAAGCCUUUAAGAAGUACGGCAUGCCUGGCAGAAGUGGGUCACUGGGGGACGAGUCUUUUAAAGGCUAUGCCUGGUUCUGGCCCUGUUAUAGCAUCAUGCCAGUGGCACAGUCAUCCUCAGAGGAUGGAUUUCCCUCCUGGCCACAAUAGACUGAGGAGAUCUUCCUAAAAUCAUGAACCAGAAUAAACCUUUCAUGCCUUAAAUUGCUUCUGUUAGGUAUUUCAGUCACUGUGAGACAAAAGUAACUGAUGCAAAAAAUUGGAAGCAGAGAUAAGGGAUUGUUGCCUCGAGAGACCAGGAUGUGUGGCUCUGAAGCCUUUAGCAGUGAUCUGUGGGAGAAAUGCAGAAGAGAUUAAAGAUAUGGGCUAGAAGAGCCCUAAAAUGCUUUAAGCUUACUUAAUGGUUAGUUUUGCUAACAGUGAGAAAGAUCAGAAAGUUGAUAAAAAUGCCAUAGUAAAGACUGUGCUCUUGAGAUUAUAAAUGGAACAACUCCAUGAAAUUACAAAUGGAAUUGGGAGAGGCCUGUAUACUACAUUCUGCCAAAAACUGUGCAUACAUUUUGUCCUUGCCUUAAAAUUUUGGGUGAUGCUGCAUUCAAAAGUAAUGAACAAAUUUCUUUGCUAGAGGACACAUACAUUUAGGCUGUGGCAUGGUUAUUGGCAGCUGCUUUUAACUAGAUUUUCAGUAAGGGCUCAACACAACUGGUGGAAUAUAAAGAUAUGAGAAAUAUGCAGGUUGGUGAGAAAAUUACUUCAAACAUGGUUCAGUUUGCAGAUCAAAAGAAAAAAGUUCUGAUACAGUGGCUAUCAUUAUUGAAGACACUGACCCCAUUAAAGUGAUGCUGUACUUUAGCCCUGGAGCAACAGGGAAAGUCCCUUCAAGAGUGAAACUCCUCCCAUUGAAGACAACAGUGUAUAAAUAGCCAGACACUUGAAAGACUUUCAUUUAAAAGGAAAUACCUAAAAAGAGCUGAUAGGUGUGUUCUAUUUGACAGGGCCACUUAGAGAAGUACUUUCCCAUAUUAUCUGGGCAGAUACUCAGGGGUCACUGUAGUCAUGGCCAAGAAUGACUGGCUACUUUUCAAGCUGGCACAAUGACUUGUCCAUAUAGAGUUGGUUUUACAGGUGUCAGAAUACAAGAGGAAUGGGGUUAUGAGUGCUUACACUAAGAUUCAUUCAUUUAUUUUUUCAGAAAGGCUAGGUCAGACAGUGUGUAGCCAGGUCAAAUCAUUUGCAGUGAGCUUGUGUUGGCUAGUUUUAUGUCAAACUGACACAAGCUAAUGCCGUUUUGGAAGCAGGACCCUCACAUGAAAAAAAAUACUCCCACCAGGCUGGACUGUGGGGUAAGCCUCUGGUUCAAUUUCCUGAUUGAUGGUUGAUGUCAGUAGGCAGUGCCAUCCCUGGGCUGGUGGAUAUGGGUGCUGUAAGAAGGCAGACUAAACAAGCCAGGGGAGGCAAGCCAGUAAGCAGCACCAUGACCUCCAGAUCCUGCCUCCAGGUCCCUGCCCUGCUUGAGUUCCUGUCCUGAUUUCCCUCAGUGAUGGACUGUUAUCUGGAAGUGUGAGCAAAAAUAAACUUUCCCCCCCAUGUUGCUUUUGGUCAUGGUGUUUAAAAGAAAUUCAAAGAUAGAAAUUCUGAGUGGGCUAUCUAUGAAGCUUGAGGGUAAAGCCCAUGUUCUGGGGGAGAAAGACCAUAGGAUAUUGGAUGAGACAUCUGUAAAAAAAAGUUCCAGGCAGUGAGUUCUCAGGAGAGAGAUGUAUGCUGCAGGGGCAUAACUAUGGGGACAGAACUGUCAGACCUGCUGGAGUUCCCAUGACAUGCCCCACAUGCUGAGCAUCAAGUUACUGGAUUCGAUGUUUGCUCUGGGAUUUCAGACUUGCUUUGGUUUAAUCUUCUGCUGUCUCUUACAGCUCCUUUGGGAACCGAAUGUUUACUCUGUGCCUUGUGUGUUGGCAGUAUGUAACUUGUUUUUGUGUUUUAUAGGGGCUCACAGUUAAGAAAUUGCCUUGAGUCUCAGCAGAGUCUUUGGCCCAUAGCACAAUGUUGCUACUGUCUAGAACACGGGGAACUCUUGAAGUUGGAUUCAAUGCACUUUGCAUUACGAGAUGAUCACGAGCUUUUUGUGGUCUGGGGCAGUGUUUUAUGGUUCGAAACAGAGCAGCUACCCACAGGCUUACUUAUGAACACUUGGUUUCAGCUUGCAAUGCUGUUUUUGAAGGCUUUGGAGCUUUUAGGAGGUAAUGCCCAAAUGAGAGAUGUGAAUCACUAGGAGCCAAUUUUUAAAGAUUAGACCAACCCCUUGUUCUAGCACUGUAGUCUUCCUCUCAGUCUACCAUCGUGACAAGUGCUGCCACAUUCUCCCACCUACCAUCAUGGUGUUUUUCCUGGUAUGUUAAGCCUUUGAAACCAUGAGCCAAAAUGAACCUUUCCCCUUACCUGUUUCUUUCAUGUAUGCAAAUGUAUGCAAAAUGCAAAAGUAACUAAUUCAUAGUGACAUGCUAGUUACAAGUCCAUAGUCUUGAAGGCUGGAUCUUUGAGCAUGUGUUCUGUUCAUUUGCUAGCAAAAAAUUCUAAUGCAGGAGGGAUCAUUGUACAGAAAUUCAUUCUUUUCUUGGGUCCUUGAACAAGCAAACACGUCCAAUGACUACAAACGGAGGCCAGUGUAGGACCCUUGUACCAGCUGUUUGCCGUAUCCCAGGCUACGAGCAUCCCCACAAACAGUCACCUUUAGAAACCAUGAAGGUGGCUUCCAACUUGUUUUCCUAAGCCUGGGUGUUUCUGUGUAUGUGGAUUUUAAUAUGUAAAUUUUAAUUUACAUACCAGUGGUCCAUGGUUUCCAUGGGGAGGAGCUCACAACCUAAGCUAUGUUUGCUCUUUACAUGGAUUAUCAUCAGCCAGUCAUUGCUGUUCAUCUCCUUAAUCUCUUCCCUCGUCUCUUCCAUUCUCAGCAUCUCUAAACCAUUCUUCACAAAUCGUGUACUGGGAUAAGGGAAGGGUGGACAGAAGGAAGUGACUCAAGCCCAUGUUCUCUGAUACUGUUGUAGAUGUUUCAGCUGACCAACCGUCUACGAGCAGAGAUGGUUUCCAUGACACAACUGUGCGUUAGUAACAACAGAAGCACCUAGACCUGCGGUUGCACACCUUCUGCUGUCUGGAUGGGGGAAUGAGGAAGCUGGAUGGAACUAACUGCAUCUUUGUGAACAUCUCAUCUAAAGAUCAGAGGAGGAGAAAAAGAAGAGGAAGAAGGAGGGGGGAGAGGAGGGGAAGGAGGAGGAGAAGAAGAAGAAAGACAAAGCUCUAUGGGAAAACUAUUUUCCCAGAACUAUAUUAAAUUCCAAACCUGGUGUAUAUGUUGACAUUAAAAUCCAAAUCCAAAAUUGGGAGGGAAGUGAGGGUCUCUCUCUUGAACCAAAUAUUAACUUAGCCCCUUGUAAAUACUAUGGUUAUCUGAGAUAUCUAAAAUAAAAAUGAUUGUGUAAAGA